rnacentral:tRNA from 1 species
GCGGGGGUUGCCCAGCCCGGUCAAAGGCGCUAGAUUCAGAGUCUAGUCUCGUAGGAGUUCGUGGGUUCGAAUCCCAUCCCCCGCA